CCUACGGGAGGCUGCAGUGAGGAAUAGUGGUCAAUGGGCGCGAGCCUGAACCAGCCAAGUAGCGUGAAGGAUGACUGCCCUACGGGUUGUAAACUUCUUUUAUAAAGGAAUAAAGGGAGGCACGUGUGCCUUGUGGGAUGUACUUUAUGAAGAAGGAUCGGCUAACUCCGGGCCAGCAGCCGCGGUAAGACGGUGGAUCCGAGCGUUAUCAGGAUUGAUUGGGGUUAAAGGGAGCGUAGAUGGGUUGUUAAGUCAGUUUUGAAAGUUUGCGGCUCAACCGUAAAAUUGCAAUUGAUACUGGCAGCCUUGAGUACAGUUGAGGUCGGCGGCAUUCGUGGUGUAGCGGUUAAAUGCUUCGAUCUCACG
rnacentral:rRNA from 1 species